rnacentral:rRNA from 1 species
UACAGAGGGUGCAAGCGUUAAUCGGAAUUACUGGGCGUAAAGCGUGCGUAGACGGUUAUGUAAGUCAGGUGUGAAAGCCCCGGGCUCAACCUGGGAAUUGCAUUUGAGACUGCAUAGCUAGGGUGCGGAAGAGGGAAGCGGAAUUUCCGGUGUAGCGGUGAAAUGCGUAGAUAUGCGGAGGAACACCGAUGGCGAAGGCAAUCCCCUGGGCCUGCACUGACGCUCAUGCACGAAAGCGUGGGGAGCAAACAGG